CAGCCGCCACGGUAAUACGUAGGGUGCAAGCGUUAAUCGGAAUUACUGGGCGUAAAGCGUGCGCAGGCGGUUAUAUAAGACAGAUGUGAAAUCCCCGGGCUCAACCUGGGAACUGCAUUUGUGACUGUAUAGCUAGAGUACGGCAGAGGGGGAUGGAAUUCCGCGUGUAGCAGUGAAAUGCGUAGAUAUGCAGAGGAACACCGAUGGCGAAGGCAAUCCCCUGGGCCUGUACUGACGCUCAUGCACGAAAGCGUGGGGAGCAAACAGGAUUAGAUACCCGCGUAGUCCCUGUCUCUUAUAC
rnacentral:rRNA from 1 species